rnacentral:ncRNA from 1 species
AAAAAGUUUUAUUUUUGUUUGAUAAUUAGGUUUUAUUUUAAUUUAAAUGUAAAUUUUUGUUUGAUCUUAGAAAGGUAAUUUUGCAAUAAAUAAUAUUAAAUAUUAAAGAAAUUUAGAUUUAGUGAUAAUAAAUAAUAUUAACUAAAUUUGUGCCAGCAGUUGCGGUUAUACAAAUAAUAUAAUUUAAUUUGAUUAGUUUUAAUUAAUUGUUAAUAUAUAAUUUUAAUAAAAAAUUUAUAAAGUGAAAUUUAAAAUUUUUACUAAAAAUUAUUGAGUUUUUAUGAAGUUAGGAAAUUUAAUUUAUAAACUAGGAUUAGAUACCCUAUUAUUUUAAAUGUAUUUUAAAAUACUAAGUUAGUAUUAGUUAUGUUCUUGAAAUUUAAAAAUUUUGGCGGUAUUUUAGUCUUUUCAGAGGAACCUGUUCUAUAAUUGAUAGUCCACGAUUUAAUUUACUUUUUUUAAAAAUUUAUAUAUCAUCGUAAUUUGAAUAUUUUAUAAGAAUUUUAAUAUUCAAGAUUUAUUAUAAUAAAAUAAAUCAGAUCAAGGUGUAGUUUAUAUAAAAGAAGAAAUGGGUUACAAUAAAUAAAUUUAAGGAUUAUUAUUUUUAAAAUAGUAUGAAUUUGGAUUUGAAAGUAAUUUGAAUAAAUUUAUUAAUAUGAUUUAGCUCUAAAAUAUGUACAUAUUGCCCGUCGCUUUCAUUAUAAUAUGAGAUAAGUCGUAACAAAGUAGAUUUACUGGAAAGUGAAUCUAGAUAGUU